GAACGAUUUAAAUGUCGUGUUUUUUGAUUCAGUCGUUAUCUAUUUUUGUAACAGUGGGAUGACAACUACAUCCGUGUGUAGUUUUCAUUUGGAAAAGAAAUAAACAUAUUCAGGUGAAUCUCUUUUUCAAAACAUGUCUACCUUUUCGCUAAGUUUGUACAUUUACACGGUACUGGUAUGUUUAUCUCCAUAUGUAGAAUCAUUUAGUUCCUGCAAAGAAGUAUACUUGUCAAAGAAUCGAAAUAACAGUUGAGAAUAUUUACUUUAUCAUAACGAAAAACCUUUUAAGGUAUAUUGCUUCUUCGAGGGAGAUUGGGUGUAUACAUUUAUAUCAAAGUCGUCGUAUAACACAUCAA